AGCGAACGCUGGCGGCGUGCCUAACACAUGCAAGUCGAGCGAACCAGGAGUAAAAGGUAACUUUGUUCUUGGUUCGCGGCGAAACGGGUGAGUAACACGUGGGUAACCUGCCCUCAGGAGGGGGGAUAACUCGGGGAAACUUGAGAUAAUACCCCAUAAGACCACAAGCUGAGAUGCUUGUGGUAAAAGGAGCAAUCCACCUGAGGAUGGGCCCGCGGCCUAUCAGGUAGUUGGUAGGGUAAUGGCCUACCAAGCCUAUGACGGGUAGCCGAGCUGAGAGGCUGGCCGGCCACACUGGGACUGAGACACGGUCCAGACUCCUACGGGAGGCAGCAGUGGGGAAUAUUGGGCAAUGGGCGAAAGCCUGACCCAGCGACGCCGCGUGGGGGAAGAAGGCCUUCGGGUUGUAAACCCCUUUUGUCAGAGGACGACUAAAGACUGUACUCUGCGAAUAAGCCACGGCUAACUCUGUG
rnacentral:rRNA from 1 species